rnacentral:rRNA from 1 species
AAUCUUCCGCAAUGGACGAAAGUCUGACGGCGCAAUGCCGCGUGAGUGAUGAAGGCCUUAGGGUCGUAGAACUCUGUUGUUAGGGACGAAUAUGUAUGGGAGUAAUAUGCAAGUACUUUGUCGGUACCUUUCCAGAAAGCCCCGGCUAACUACGUGCCCGCAGCCGAGGUAAUACGGAGGGGGCUAGCGUUGUCCGGAAUUAUUGGGCGUUAAGGGCGCGCAGGCGGUUUCUUAAGUCUGAUGGGAAAGCUCGUGGCUUAACCACGGGCGGUCGUUGGAAACUGGGAAACUUGAGUACAGAAGAGGAGGGUGGAAUUCCACGUGUAGCGGUGAAAUGCGUAGAGAUGUGGAGGAACACCAGUGGCGAAGGCAGCUCUCUGGUCUGUAACUGACGCUGAGGUGCGAAAGCGUGGGGAGCAAACA